rnacentral:rRNA from 1 species
CGAGCGCAACCCUUAUCUUUAGUUGCCAUCAUUUAGUUGGGGCCUCUAAAGAGACUGCCGGUGACAAACCGGAGGAAGGUGGGGACGACGUCAAGUCAUCAUGGCCCUUACGGGAUGGGCUACACACGUGCUACAAUGGCCGGUACAGAGGGCUGCAAAGUCGCGAGGGUGAGCUAAUCUCAAAAAGCCGGUCGUAGUCCGGAUUGGAGUCUGCAACUCGACNCCANGAAGUCGGAAUCGCUAGUAUUCUCAGAUCAGAAUGCUGCGGUGAAUACGUUCCCGGGCCUUGUACACACCNCCCCUCUCA